ensembl:lncRNA
CACCAUAACCACUAUACUCCAUUUAGAGGUACAGACCCACCAUAACCACUAUACUCCAUUUAGAGAUUCAUACCCACCAUAACCACUAUACUCCAUUUAGAGGUACAGACCCACCAUAACCACUAUACUCCAUAUAGAGAUUCAUACCCAUCAUAACCACUAUACUCCAUAUAGAGGUACAGACCCAUCAUAACCACUAUACUCCAUUUAGAGAUUCAUACCCACUAUAACCACUAUACUCCAUAUAGAGAUUCAUACCCAUCAUAACCACUAUACUCCAUAUAGAGGUACAGACCCACCAUAACCACUAUACUCCAUAUAGAGAUUCAUACCCACCAUAACCACUAUACUCCAUAUAGAGAUUCAUACCCACCAUAACCACUAUACUCCAUAUAGAGAUCCAUACCCACUAUAACCACUAUACUCCAUAUAGAGAUCCAUACCCACUAUAACCACUAUACUCCAUAUAGAGGUACAGACCCACCAUAACCACUAUACUCCAUAUAGAGAUCCAUACCCACC